rnacentral:rRNA from 1 species
AUGAACGCUGGCGGCGUGCCUUAGGCAUGCAAGUCAAGGGGUCCGGCGCAAGCCGGAAACCGGCGGACGGUCGAGUAACGCGUGGGAAUCUACCUGGAAGUUGGAUAUAGCCCUCCGAAAGGAGGGGUAAUCUCCAAUGUGAUCGCAAGAUUAAAGAUUUAUCGCUUCCAGAUGAGCCUGCGUAGGAUUAGCUAGUUGGUGGGGUAAAGGCCUACCAAGGCGACGAUCCUUAGCUGGUCUGAGAGGAUGAUCAGCCGGAAUGGGACUGAGACACGGCCCAUACAUCUACGGAUGGCAGCAACCGGGAAUCUUCGGCAAUGGGCGAAAGCCUGACCGAGCGACGCCGCGUGGAGGAUUGAAGGCCCUCGGGUUGUAAACUCCUUUUGCAUGGGAAGAUUAUGACGGUACCAUGCGAAUAAGCACCUGCUAACUACGUGCCAGAAGCCUCGGUAAGACGUAGGGUGCAAGCGUUAUCCGGAUUUACUGGGCGUAAAGUGUUGCGUAGGCUGAUUAGCGCAUUUUGCUUAAAAGGCCGUGGCUCAACCACGGUUUUGGGCAAAAUAUGGCUAAUCUCGAUGGCUAAAGAGGGUACUGGAACAGAUCAUGUAGCAGUGAAAUGCGUUGAUAUGAUCUGGAACACCGAAGGCGUAGGCAGGUACCUGGGUAGCUCAUGACGCUGAGGCACGAAAGCUUGGGGAGCGAAGCAGAUUAGAGACCUGCGUAGUCCAAGCCGUAAACGAUGGAUGCUAGAUGGAAGGAGUUUUCUUUCUGUCGCAAGGUAACCCGUUAAGCAUCCCGCCUGGGGAGUACGAGCGCAAGCUUAAAACUCAAAGGAAUUGACGGGGAGGCGCACAAGCAGUGGAGCGUGUUGUUUAAUUCGAUAUAAAGCGAAAAACCUCACCAGGGUUUGACAUGUAACUGCAAAUCCUAUGAAAGUAGGACUUCUUCGAGAGUGUUACACAGAUGCUGCAUGGCUGUCGUCAGCUCGUGGCGUGAGCUGUACCGUUAAGUCGGGGUAACGAGCGCAACCCGCACCGUAUGUUAGAUAAUUCAUGCGGAACAGCCCCACUUUGUGGGGAGGAAGGCGCGGAUGACGUCAAGUCAGCACGGCUCUUACACCCUGGGCUACAAACACCCUACAAUGGCGAAAAACAACGAGCCGCAAGCCAGUAAUGGCAAGCUAAUCUCUGAAAUUUCGCCCCAGUUCAGAUCGAGGGCUGCAAUUCGCCCUCGUGAAGUCGGAAUUGCUAGUAAUCGCGGAUCAGCAGGCCGCGGUGAAUACGUUCUCGCCUCUUGUACACACCGCCCGUCAAGGCAGCAAAGUUGGGGGCACCCGAAUAACCUUACAAGGUUAGAAGGUGAAACCAGCGAUGAGGCUU